rnacentral:tRNA from 1 species
UCCUGGGGGGCUUAAGGGUAAAGAAUCUGCCUGCCAAGCAGGAGACACGGGUUCAAUCCCUGGGUCGGGAA